GGGCGUAUGGUGUAGUGGUAUCACUCAUGCUUUGCAGCUUCGGUGCUCCAAUUCACCUAAAACAAUGUAUGCGGUCCAGGGUUCAAACCCCUGUGCGUCCA